GAACGAUUAGCUCAGUGGUAGAGCACUCGACUUUUAAUCGAGCAAAAAAUUAUUCU
rnacentral:tRNA from 1 species